rnacentral:rRNA from 1 species
GAUGAACGCUGGCGGCGUGCCUAAUACAUGCAAGUCGAGCGAACGGACGAGAAGCUUGCUUCCCUGAUGUUAGCGGCGGACGGGUGAGUCACACGUGGAUAACCUACCUAUAAGACUGGGAUAACAUCGGGAAACCGGAGCUAAUACCGGAUAAUAUUUUGAACCGCAUGGUUCAAAAGUGAAAGACGGUCUUGCUGUCACUUAUAGAUUGAUCCGCGCUGCAUUAGCUAGUUGGUAAGGUAAAGGCUUACCAAGGCUACGAUGCAUACCCGACCUGAGGGGGUGGUCGGCCACACUGGAACUGAGACACGGUCCAGACUCCUACGGGGGGCAGCAGUAGGGAAUCUUCCGCAAUGGGCGAAAGCCGGACGGAGCAACGCCGCGUGAGUGAUGAAGGUCUUCUGAUCGUAAAACUCUGUUAGUAGGGGAGAACAUAUGUGUAAGUAACUGUGCACAUCUUGACGGUACCUAAUCAGAAAGCCACGGCUAACUACGUG